AAGCCAUGGUUAGGGCAUUUUCUAAAUAAUAACUUGAAUCUUUGUCAUACUUCACAUAGUGGCUCAUGAUUCCUUUGUGAGAAGGUGGAAAUAGCUUAUUUGGCUU